rnacentral:rRNA from 1 species
AUUUUAUAUGAGAGUUUGAUCCUGGCUCAGGAUGAACGCCGGCGGUGUGCCUAAUACAUGCAAGUCGUACGCACUGGCCCA